rnacentral:rRNA from 1 species
AGUGAACGCUGGCGGUAUGCCUAACACAUGCAAGUCGAACGACCGCACGGUAAGCGUGUGCCCUUACUGUUGGCGAGUGACGGGCGGGUGACGAAUAGAUCGCAUUCUUCUUUGUCGUGGGGGAUUACGUGGGGAAACUGACGCUAAUACCGCAUACGACCUACGGGUGAGAUCAGAGGAUCUUCGGACCUUGCGCGAUUGAAUUAGACGAUGUCGGACUAGCUAGUUGGCUUGGUAACGGCCCACCAAGGCGACGAUGCGUAGCUGAUCUGAGAGGAUGAUCGGCCACACUGGAACUGAGACACGGUCCAGACUCCUACGGGAGGCAGCAGUGGGGAAUAUUGGACAAUGGGCGCAAGCCUGAUCCAGCCAUGCCGCGUGAGUGAAGAAGGCCUUCGGGUUGUAAAACCCUUUUGUUGGGAAAGAAAAGCAGCAGGUGAAUACACCGCUGUUCUGACGGUACCUAAAGAAUAAGCACCGGCUAACUUCGUG